CCUGACUGGAGGACAGACCAUGCUGCUGCACUGAGCCGCAGGGAGAGAAAAGAGAGAGGCACCCCGGAGGACGCUGAGGUGGUGGCUGGCCUGUUGGUGUGCCCCUCCCCCUUGCCUGACUGGCUAGCUGCUGCCUCUUCAGUUCACCUGAUCGCUCCCCAUCCCGAAGGCUGAGGCUUGCUAUGGACUGCGCUUCGCCCCCUGCUGCAGCCCAGCCCAGUACACUACCUUAGUGGGUUCCCCUAUCUUCCUGCGUGGUUCCCUCCAGACUCACUGUACGGAGUACAGCACAGAUCUGGUACCCCCUACAGCCACUCCUGGGUUCUCCACCCCACCCCGUCCCCUACUCCCAGCCUCUCCCCUUCCUUCCCCUGAGAAGAUGUCGGUGAGCCUGAUAACAGACAUCCAGCAGGAGGGAGAGAGUGGGCCGCUCAUCGAGCCCUGCAGUCGAGGAAAGACCUCCCCUCUGCCACAGGGAACUAAAGAAGGGACAGGAGAGGGCCUGGAGCCGGAGGACAGUUCCCCACAGGAUGCACAGAAACGGGCUCCCAAUCACAGCCAUGGAAGGAAAAGGGCCAAGGUAA